GGGAGACUGUAUAUUUCCCAGGGCUGGAGAAGAUGCUACCUGCGCAGCUGGCCGGGGGCGGAUGGCAGUGGCAGUGGCGAGAAUGAUACCAUUGAAGACAUUGGGACCAAGGACUUCAAACCAUAGUAAAGUGCACUUAUGGUCAGAUAAAAAUGGCAGCCUGCUCAAAGCUAUGCUUACUGUCUGAACGACUAUAACUGAACACAUUUUGCCUGAAGUAAUGGGACUACUGAAGGUACCUCCUCAAUGAGUGGUUACAGAGUUCUUUCUCUACCCUGAUAUACUUCAGAUAUCAAGAGAGAAGCUCCCAGAUUUAGUGCAAGCUGUGUUGCCUCCGAGUCCAGUUGAAACAACUUAAUUGCUCCAGAUCUUAAAGUGUUUGAGGCCAAGGUAUGCGCUCAAGUUUUGUAUGGUGCAGAAGUAAGAGAUCCUAGGACACCAUUUCUCAAAGGUGGGUCAGGACCCCAAGGUGGGUCAAACUCAUUUUAAUGGGGUUGCCAGGACUGGUGUUUGACUUGCUGAGGCCUAGGGCUGACGCCCAAGCCCCACCACCCAGGGCCAAAGCUCGAGCCCCACAGCCCAGAGCUGAUGCCAAAGCUCAAGUCCCACCACCUGGGGCAGUGGGGCUUUGGGUGGGCUCAGGUUUUGGUCCCCUUUCCUGAAGUCCUGUAGUAAUUUUUGUUGUCAGAAGGGGAUCCCAGUGCAAUGAAGUUUGAGAACUCCUGUCCUAGGAGGUUGGAAGUGGUCCAAAACAAGUUUCUUAGGAAGAUUCUGAGUCUCCCAAAUAUCCCAGCCACUCUCCUUAGAGCUAAGGCAGACAUGAACUCUAUUCUGGCUAAAGUGCAAUUCCAUAAUAUCAAUUUUUGGUUUCACAUUCAUCGUCUGCAUCCACAACGCUUGCCAAAGAUAAGCGCAGAGGAAUUGUCAGUCAGGCUUUAACCAAGAAAAUUUACGUAACAGAGUAUAUGCAGAAUUCUUUGCAUUCUCUAGGCCUCUCAGAAUUGGAACUGAUUAGAAUUAAGUUUAAAUAAUGGGAAAUCCCUAAUCAAACUGAGAUUAGAGGAUAUUUAUAAGCAAUCAAACAUGGCAGUUUUUGCCAUUACAACUAUGUCUUCUGGUUCACCUUUGUUAAAAAGGUCAAGGCUUAUUUAGACAGUUUGUCCAACAACAAGCUAAGGAGGGCCUUUACAGGUCUGUUUUCAAUCUAUGAAGUCAACUUGCUCAGAAGGACUAUAUAGUGGCAUUGAGAAAUGUAAUCAACUCUGUCCAUACAGCUCUAAGCAGGUGGAAGACCUACCCCAUUAUUUAUUAUGUUGUAAUUUGUAUUGCCACUUGGUCAAAAGGGUUGUGUUUUUGUCCCAGAUGCCUUGUUCUCUCAGAAAAGAGAAUAUUUAUCAGGAACCAACAAUAUAUCUGAUUGAGUGGUUGCCCUAUUUGUACCAUCAGCUGCUAAAAUAAGGCAAAGGCAAGUGGCAUGGUGAUUAUACACACUGUAAUUAGUUUAAUGUUUGUAUUUAGAUUUUAAUUUUUUGGAUUUAGUUUUAAAUAUUAUUGUAAUACAUUUUGAUUUUGGCACAUUGACCUAUGGAUA